rnacentral:lncRNA from 1 species
AUGCGGGUACCUGGUCUGCCCAGGGUGGACCCCCACAUCUGGAAAGGCUGGCGUGGCCUCCGGAAGGCGGUUAGCGGCCCGGAGACUCCUCUGAAGCCCGGGCUGUCCGUGGGCCUGGCUGCGGCGGCCGUCCGUGCAGUGGAUGCCGUCCUGGGGUUUGUGGGGAGAAGGCACUCGCAGGAGAGCGGCCGGAGGCCAGAGGAUAAGGGACCCCAGCAUGCAGGGAGCAGAAGGUCAUCGUCCUUGAAGGGUGGUCCCAGGUCACACUGGUCGCCUCCUCCGAGCCCUGCUGCUUUUCAGCCUCCUCUUCCUGGCAGCCCACCUGGCCUUCCAGAUAUGCCUGCACACCGUGCCCCGCCUGGACCAGCUCCUGGGGCCAAGCUGCAGCCCCUGGCAGAUCCUGUCCCAGCACGUAGGGGUGACGAGGUAAGCCCUCUCCCUGCCUGGGGCCUCCAGGCCCUGGGGUCCACCCUUCCCUUCCUGUCCCCAGCCCCCCGCUGCCUGGCACCUGCCCUCCUGACCGAUCGGUGGG